UGCUUUCGCCUUUAAUUUUCUUUGUGCGGCAUUUGCCGAAUUGAUUUGUCCAGAUAGUCGCUACUAAACGAUCUUAAUGUUUCCUCUAAUUGAGAUUAUAUAAUAUUCAGUACGUAAGCUUGCGAUAUACUUAGUCGUGUUUAUAAAUUAGUCCCCACUGAUCUCGGUCUCAGAAUCGAAGUUGGCGCGUCGCCACGAAAGGCACUUAUCAAGUAUACCAGAAGACACCGAGAGGAAGACAUUGUCAGAUAUUGUUGAGUGCGAGGGAUAUGGAUAAAAAGUGUGCAUUGUCCAUCCUAUUCAUAAUAGCAUUCAUCUCCGUGUGUAUCUGUGUUAUCCUGAUAUUUGGCAUCCCGAGCGAAUCGCGAAUUUCCAAGCAGCCACACAUCGUCGUUAUCAUAGCCGAUGACCUCGGAUGGAACGAUGUCGGUUUCCACGGCGCUAACGAGAUUCCUACGCCGAACAUAGACGCUCUCGCGUACAACGGAGUGAUAUUGAACAGACAUUACGUACUACCAACAUGCACACCGUCGAGAGCGGCUUUCUUCACCGGCCGGUACCCUAUAAGAACAGGUAUGCAGGGCUACCCUCUACGCGCAGCGGAACCGCGCAGCAUACCGUUAAACAAUUCUCUCCUACCUGAGUAUCUUCGUAUGCUCGGAUACACUACUGCUCUUGUGGGGAAAUGGCACAUCGGUUAUCACACGAAUAAUCAUAUACCCACGCGUCGUGGUUUCGACAGCUUCCUCGGCUAUUAUUCCGGCUACAUCGAAUAUUUCACUCACAAACUUAUCGAGAGCGGGCAAUCAGGCUACGAUAUUCAUCGUUUGAUCGGCAACAAUCAUAAAAUCGAGUAUCGUUACGACUACAUGACUGACAUCAUCACCGCGGAGGCGGAGAGUAUCAUUUUGUCGCAUAAUACCUUGAAACCGAUGUACCUGCAAUUGUCGCAUCUCGCGCCUCAUUCAAGCACUGCUAAAGAUCUCUUGGAAGUACGUAGUUGGAAGGAAACGAACGACACUUUCGGUUACAUCAAGGAUAUAAACAGAAGAAAGUAUGCAAGUGUCGUCACCACAUUGGACGAGUCGGUCGGUCGAGUGGUCGACGCUCUGAAGCGGGCAGAAAUGUUGGACAACUCGAUCAUCAUCUUUCUGAGCGACAACGGUGCGCAAACCGUGGGAGAAGUACAUAGGAAUUACGGAUCGAAUUAUCCAUUACGCGGGUUGAAGUCAAGCUUUUUCGAUGGCGCCGUUCGAAGUGCGGCCUGCAUCUAUUCACCCCUGAUCGAAUCCAGGUCGAGAAUAUCCACGCAAUUGAUUCACAUUAGCGAUUGGCUACCGACCCUGUAUUCCGCAGCCGGCGGUGAUCCGAGUGAUCUAGAAGGACUCGAUGGUGUCGAUCAAUGGUCCGCGAUCAAACACGCGGGCAACAGCAAGCGGCAAUCCUUACUCAUCAACAUCGACGAGCAGAUUGAUAGCGAGGCAGCGUUGGUAGGACAAUACAAACUUGUCACAGACAGGUCUAUAUUUUCCGAGUAUUAUGGCUACACCGGUAACGACCCGUCGUAUCCCAAGUACAAUGAGACGCAAGUAUUAACGUCACCGGCCGCAUCCGCUAUCGCCAGUAUUUCGCCGAAGUUAAACGCUGAUAAACUCAAGCAGUUGCGAAAAGAAGGCAUGGUGAUUUGCCAGAAUGACAAGUUCUCGAAUUGCAUGAAUCGCACUUGUCUGUUCGACAUCUACGAGGAUCCUUGCGAAAUUACAGACCUGUCAUCGAAGUAUCCCGAGGUCGUGAAGAGAUUGAGUACGUUCAUCGACAGCUAUAAAUUGGUCAUGAUGAAGCAGACGAACAUGCCCGUCGAUCCUACCGGCUUCCCACACAAUUUUAAUGACACUUGGAUGCCGUGGCUACCGGAGGGAGAUCUGCCGGCGAAGUGUAUUUUGCCAAGUUGCGUAAUGACGAAGCAGUAGAGUGCCGAUUAUAUCCCGAGAAUAUAAGCAUGGUUACCGCUGCGGGCGAAGCCGCUCGUCGGAUACCGUGUGCGAGGGCCAGAGGGUGGAUAAGUCCGAGCCGAAACUUAACGACGUAAUGAACGUCUGACGGAGGAUUAUUUAUCGACGGCAGCGGAGCAACGGAAGGGCCGACGCGCGGCCAAGGAGAGCGGGAGGGAAGACGGACGAUCGGCAUCGUGGACAAAAUUGGCACGAUAAUUAGCGCGGGGCAAGGGGUCCGCGACUUCUUUUAAUUGAAGUGUACAACACGAAAUUUGCUUUCGCUAAUUGCGCCGGAUGAUUUGUCGGCGCGGGAUAAUAGGCGUGCGCAUUAGGAACGGAAACUCGUACCUCGUGGAACAGAACGGAAUAAGCGCACCGGAUUAUCGAUUCUUAUGUAUUCAUAACGAGCCGUGAGUUAUAGUUAUAAAAUGAGUCGUUCAAUUAAUGUACCCGGAAUACAAGUCGAGAAACCACGCGGCGAGUCUAACUUUAAGACAAAGAACUGCUGAGUCGGGUUUCACAUGAAACGACUACUGUAAUUUUCGUGUGAAUGAAAUUCAGUAGAGGAAUGUUUGGAGCUUGAAAAGGCUGUAUCGAGGAAAUUACGUCUCGGAGUGAAGUAUAAUCAAGUUGAAUGGAGCAGAGAAAGAGAGAUUUAAUAGAAGGAUUCUCGCUUUACGCAGAGGGACUCGAGGUCGAUACUCGUUCGAACUCGAUCAAGCGAGAUGGCACCAAUCUUUAAAUGGUGAAGGCAGGGAUAAAUUGUUUUGGCUCCGCCCUGUAGUAAAACAAAUGAUCACAAAGAUACCGCCUGCUCGUUAAAGUCAUUCCUGCGAAGGUGGUCUCGCUCUUUCUCUCUCUUUCUCUCUCUCUCUCUCUCUCUCUCUCUUUAUCUCUUUUUUCCAUCCUUUUCUUUUAGGAUAUUUCUCGUUACGCGAGGUGUAUAAUUUUCGAUAGAACCGAACGCACUAGAAAAACGUAGCGCGUCGACAACUAAUUAGUGAACGAGAAAUAAAUAAGUCACGUCGGCUACUUAGCCGGAAAGUAAAGGGAGUGAACGGCCAGGCUCCGCUUGGUCACAUCAAUAAGGUCACACGAGACUUUCACAUGAAUAACGUUUUGAACUAACAAAAAAACAGUUGCAUGUCAAAUUUUAGUUACCUUGUGAUUCUUACACCUUCCUGGUAGCAACAGGAUUUCUUGACAACAAAUUCGAAAGCAAUUCUCUCUAAGCACGUGUUUGUUUAGAAUAUUGUUCAUCUAAUACUUGUUUCAUAUAAGUUACUCAGAUCUUUAUUCAGAAGUAGGUUCAAGUUCUUUUUCACUUUAUUUAUGAUAUAUGUGAUAUUUAUAUGUAAUCAUGAGUCAACUAAAAAACUCUUAUCUAAUUCCGUAUUCAAAUCUGAGUAUCUCAUUUGAGAUGAAUUACAAAUGAUAACUACUAACAGGUCUAUAUUAAUAGUUAUUUGAAAUUUGUCUCAAGUGAGAUAGCCAGAUUUGAGUUGAAAGUUCGAUGCGAAUUUUUCAAUUGAAUCGCGCAAUUACAAAUAUAAUAUCACAUAUACGAUUCAAAUGAAAAACUCAUAUCUGACUUUAAAGUCAAAUCUGAGCGUCUUGCUUGAGACAAGUCUUAAGUAAUAUAGGCCUUAAACUCAUGUCAAUAUUAAUAUAAUCGUUACUUAAAACUUACCUCGAGUGAAAUAGAUUCGAAUUUAGAAUUAGAUUUGAGUUUUGUACUUAAAUCAAUACAACCAAAAUUACAUUUGUAAUCGAUUUAACUGAGAAACUUGAAUCCAAUUCUAAAUUCAAAUUUGAAUUUAGAUUCAGAAUUAUAAUUGAUUAGAUUUAGAAUUAGAAUAGAUUGAGAUUGAAAUUUAGAUCGAAUUCUCAACGCGAGAAAAGUUUCAAAUAACGGCCAUUAACAAGAAACUACAUUAAUAGAGUCUCAGAUUUUAAUUCAGAUUUUUAUUUCAGAAUUAGAUUCAAGUUUUUCACAUAGUUAAAUUAUAUGAUCUGUAUUAAUAGUCGUUAUAUAAAAUUUCAUUCAAAUAAGAUAUUCAGAUUUGAGUUUAGAGUUAUAUGAGAGUUUCUCAAUUGAAUUGCGAUUACAGAUAUGAUGUUACAUGUAUCACAAGUUCGUAUUAAUAGUCGAAACUUGCCUCAAGUGAGACACUCAGAUUUGAAUUUAUAGUCAGAUAUGAGUUUUUUAGUUGAAUCACGACUGCAAGUAUAAUGUCACAUAUAUCAUGUAAUUAAAAUAAAAAAACUUUUACCUAACUCUAGAUUCAGAUUUGAAUAUUUUAUGUAGGACAAAUUUUAAAUAACGCCUAUUAAUUUAGGCCAUAUAAUUCAACUGUGUGAAAAAUUUGGAUCUAAUCCUGAAUAAGAAUAUGAGUAUUUCAUGUGAGACGAGCUUCAAGUAAUGACUAUUAUUACAGACUUUAGUUCCUGAUAUUCCUGAUAGUUUAUCAAGUAUCGUAUUUGCGUGAGAUUCGCUAACGGUCAAGAUUAGUUAUGUCGCGAGAGGAAUGUUGGCAAAUUUCCAUCUUUUAAAAUUCAGGCUUCGAAUACUUGUUAGACGAGGGGGCGUUUUGAAGAAGCGAUUCCCCAAUUCUUUCGAGCGACAUAGAUUCUCGGUUCUGGGAGCGAGAGGGUUAACGGCAACGAUCGCUCCUCUUCUUCUUCGCUCGCGACGGCGACCGGCAUCCCCGUGUCGAUCAGCGUGGCUCCUCGUUCAUCGAGGCAGGAGGAGGCCAAGUAGGAGGCGAAGUAGGAGGAAGUGAAGUAGUAGGAGGACUCCACCACCACCGUCGGCUGGCAAAUCCUGCGGGACUGCUCCAACGGACACCUGACGUCGCAUAGAGGACAAACAGAGACGCUCUUCACACGUCGGGAUAAAGAUAUUAAAAGACAUUAAAAGAUAUUAAAGAUAGAUACGCGUAAGGAUAAAAAUAUUGUAGCUUGUCCGAAAGCUUCGCUUUCUUCAUGAACGAGAG